UGCCUUGAAUGCCAAAGUGGCGACGGCGACGGCGACGGCGACAACCCGUAUACCUACGACAACUGUCAGUUUUGUGUAUAAUCUAUAUCUGUGGGAUUGUUGUUUCUUGCAAAUUUUUGUUUUUAUAUUUGGUUUUUGUUGCUGUUGUUGUUGUGUUUUUGUUUUGUGUUGCCGUGUAUUGUUGUUGUGGAGCGUCUGAGAAGCGCCUUAUCAGCGGCGCCUCCAGAAAAUAUGUCACACGUACGCGUCAAAUUUUCUCAGAAAAAAUAAACCGCAAAAUAAGCAUGAUAUGCCGCCAGAUAUGAGGCGGCAACAUAGGCAGCCGCAGCCGCAGCCGCAAUCGCAGCCCCCAUGUGUCUGUAUCUUUUUCGAUUACGCAAAAAACACCCAGUGUAACUCAGGGACUCUCCAGGGACCUAGUAAUUUGAAUGAGCUUUUGACUUGUGAAUAAUAUAGUUCUAUAUAUUUUCUGGGUAUUAUUCAAUAACAGAUUCGUUUGAUAAGGAUCCCGAUUCUAUAAAAAAGGCGGAUGAUCAACAGAUCGAAGAACAUCUCUUAGAAUUUUCCUGAGAAACCAAAUGAAAACGAAUGAUUAUACUACGAAUAAAGUGAGUGAGUGAGUGGACAGCAGGGGCGGGGACCUGCUGCUGGUUCUGGUCUAGUCUUUCCGAUAAGAUAUGGCGAAACUAUUCUUGUAAAAUGAGUUUCACUUUUCCUUUAAAUUCAUUGGGGUUUUUUUUGUUUAUUUUCCCCCUCCUCGACCUUGUACUUUGCACAAUUACUUCAUGGAUUUCACAAUAAUAAUAGAAGCAACGGCUAGAGGAAGAGCAAUAA